GAUGAACGCUGGCGGCGUGCUUAACACAUGCAAGUCGAACGGUGAAGCAGGAGCUUGCUCUUGUGGAUCAGUGGCGAACGGGUGAGUAACACGUGAGCAACCUGCCCCUGACUCUGGGAUAAGCGCUGGAAACGGCGUCUAAUACUGGAUAUGUGAUGUGACCGCAUGGUCUGCAGCUGGCAAGAAUUUCGGUUGGGGAUGGGCUCGGGGCCUAUCAGCUUGUUGGUGAGGUAAUGGCUCACCAAGGCGUCGACGGGUAGCCGGCCUGAGAGGGUGACCGGCCACACUGGGACUGAGACACGGCCCAGACUCCUACGGGAGGCAGCAGUGGGGAAUAUUGCACAAUGGGCGGAAGCCUGAUGCAGCAACGCCGCGUGAGGGAUGACGGCCUUCGGGUUGUAAACCUCUUUUAGCAGGGAAGAAGCGAAAGUGACGGUACCUGCAGAAAAAGCACCGGCUAACUACGUGCCAGCCGCCGCAGUAA
rnacentral:rRNA from 1 species